rnacentral:rRNA from 1 species
UACGAAGGGUGCAAACGUUGCUCGGAAUCAUUGGGCGUAAAGCGCACGUAGGCGGCCUUGCAAGUCCGAUGUGAAAGCUUCCGGCUUAACUGGAAAAUUGCAUCGGAAACUGCUCGGCUUGAAGGUGGGAGAGGGUAGCGGAAUUCCCGGUGUAGUGGUGAAAUGCGUAGAUAUCGGGAGGAACACCAGUGGCGAAGGCGGCUACCUGGCCCACUCUUGACGCUGAGGCGCGAAAGCUAGGGGAGCAAACGGG